UCACGGUUACCGGGGCGACAGGGGCCUCAUUUGCAUAGACCUCCUUGAUUGGCUAAGGGAGAGCAGGGUCUUUGGGAGGUGGGGCAAAAGCCUUUCCUUCUCUCCCACGGAAAGCCACGCCUUGUCCAAGCUCCGCCCGGUCCCCGCCCGCACGCCGGGCGGGGGCUGCUGACCUGGGCAGGCGCUCAGCGCCCCGCAGACUCAGUGUCAAUCCGGUCUGGAGCGCAAGUUUCGCUUUUAGAAAUUGUCAAGGUGACCAAGGGGACACUUGCGGGAAUUCUCUUUCCUUUGGCCAGUCAGUGUAAUAGAUGAGCAAAAUCUGGAGAUUCUCCCAAAUAUGUUCCAAAGGCAAGUUGGACCACGCGGACGAUGCCUGGCAGGGCAUUUGGUAGAAAACAAACGUUUUGACACGGUAACAUGCGGUGAACCCCAGGAUGAAGUGGUAGAGAGAAGGGUCCGAAGAGAGAAGAGAAGGUGUUGGAAAACGAGAUGCGAAAAUUUGAGGAGAUAACCCCCACUGGGGUGAUGAAUGUGUACGUUCAGACGAGGGAUCCAGAAGCGGAGGAAUGACGCUUUCCAGAAGGACGUGUCAGGGUUAAUUACGAAGGAAGUAACUAAAGUACAGAGGACCAGGUGAGUCAGUAUUCCUUAUGGCCUGUUUUAAGAACAAGUGUUUGCCAAUCUGUAGAUAGAGGCAAUACUAUUUCAAACAAAUAGUUUGGAUCUUUACCAUCUCAACCCAAUAAUUAAUGGUAAAUGUCGUGAUGGCUCUCCACAUUUCUUCUACAGUAUUUAUCUUAGUUUUCCUGUGCAAGAGGAUCUGUAAAUAAACGCUAACUGCUCCAGGACUGGGGACGACA
rnacentral:lncRNA from 1 species